AUUGAACGCUGGCGGCAGGCCUAACACAUGCAAGUCGAGCGGAUGAAGGGAGCUUGCUCCUGGAUUCAGCGGCGGACGGGUGAGUAAUGCCUAGGAAUCUGCCUGGUAGUGGGGGAUAACGUCCGGAAACGGGCGCUAAUACCGCAUACGUCCUGAGGGAGAAAGUGGGGGAUCUUCGGACCUCACGCUAUCAGAUGAGCCUAGGUCGGAUUAGCUAGUUGGUGGGGUAAAGGCCUAGCAAGGCGACGAUCCGUAACUGGUCUGAGAGGAUGAUCAGUCACACUGGAACUGAGACACGGUCCAGACUCCUACGGGAGGCAGCAGUGGGGAAUAUUGCACAAUGGGCGAAAGCCUGAUCCAGCCAUGUCGCGUGUGUGAAGAAGGUCUUCGGAUUGUAAAGCACUUUAAGUUGGGAGGAAGGGCAGUAAGUUAAUACCUUGUUGUUUUGACGGUACCAACAGAAUAAGCACCGGCUAACUUCGUG
rnacentral:rRNA from 1 species